rnacentral:snoRNA from 1 species
AACAUCAAUAUUAUCGCUCCACGGUUAUCCCUGUGUAAGAUUUCGUUCUGCGCGGGGACCGGGUUAUGUGUUGUUCACUAUUUCCUGGUUUUAAUAAUUUGUGUUGAAGCGUAGAUUUAAUACCAAGUACGUUGCUGGGCGCCUGAUAUUGAGUCAAUUUGAUUAUGAUCUAUUGGGAAUCAGCUGUAUCUACAUUU